GGGCUUGUUCAGGAGCAUACAUACUAAUGUUAUAGCAAUACAGAGAAAGAUUAGCAUAGCUCUUGUACAAGACAUGUACAUUUAUGAAAGUCUUCAUUUUUAU